AAUUUUUUGAAAUUUUCGGGUUAACACAAUAGAGCACUAUCAGCAAUACAUUUGGGGAUUUAUUCAAAAUUACAACAUUUAGGGCUGGUAGAGAGGUGAACGGUGGCUGUAGGUGAACGGCAGUGACGGUGGUCAACGGUGUCGACGGCAGGUGGGUUCUCGGCUUCAGCAGUCUCGCCGGCGGCGUGCUUCUUGGCGUGGGGUGCUGGUUGCUCACGGUUCCGUCUCUCGGCGUGCUUCGGUGAUUUCCAGAUUAUCCUCUCUCAGGAGAAAAAUAUACGGAAACUUAACGAGCUUGUACAAAGUCUACGGGAACAAUUGCUUCAGUGCAGGGGUGGAAAUGAGGUUGACAAUGGCACCACAGCUCCCCUGACAGAACUUCUAACUGAGCUUGAGAGGCAGCCUGUCCUGGAGGACUAGUCCUGGCUUGUACGUGUUAGUUGUCAACUUACCUAAACUUGCAGCCUAAACCAAGCCAUUGAUCCUCAACUUUUCUUUGUUUUUUUUUUCUAGAACUACUCUUCAAUUGUCUCUCUUCAUCCAGAAAUAAUUGAUGGAAGACCAGGGACUUUGGUGAUAGAAUCAUUUAUGGUAGAUGUUCCUGAAGGUAACACGGAAGAUGAAACUUGCUACUUUGUUGAAGCCUUGAUUAAGUGCAAUCUCAAAUCACUUGCUGAUGUCUCAGAGCAGUGUGCAGUCCAAAGUAAUAGCUAUUGAUACAAGUGUGACUUGUAAAAGAAUAUACAAGUUAAUAUUUUGAUUGGUUUUAAAGCAUUGGAUUGGUAGCUAAUUGCAAGAGGCGCAAUAUGGACAAAGAAUGGAUGUCAGCUGAUAGGAUGUCAGUAGAAUAUAUAAAAGGGGUCGAUGAGUUUCUUAAAUUUAGUUUGGAUCAUGCCAAAGAUCCAAACUAUAUUUGUUGUCCUUGUAGUAAGUGUGGAAAUAUGAAAAAGAUGACUGCCACAAUAAUAAAAGAGCACUUAUAUUUCCACGGGAUAGACAAAAGUUAUAAAAUAUGGUAUUGGCAUGGUGAAGAGCUUCAUGUUACUCCGGACCCUCCUAUGAUGAAUGAAUAUCGGAAUUAUAGGCAAUUGGAUCGUGAGGAUAAUUUAGAUGAAAUGAUUGACGAUGCAUAUUAUGAAUCAGAAGUAGAUCCCGUUAAGUUUGAAAAUCUUCUUAAUGACGCUGAAAAGCCGAUUUACUCUGGUUGCACUAAAUUUUCAAAGUUGUCAGCCCUUCUUAGAUUGUACAAUAUAAAAGCCAAAAAUGGAUGGAGUGAUAAGAGUUUCACGGAAUUGUUAGUUUUUUUGAAAGAUUUACUGCCUGAAGAAAACGAGGUGCCCGUAUCAUUUUGACGUCUACUUAGCUCCCCUAAUUGAUGACUUGAAAACUUUAUGGAAUGAAGGAGUUAGGGCUUAUGAUGCAUACCGAAAAGAAGAAUUUACCCUUCGAGCGGUGUUGUUAUGGACAAUCAACGACUUCCCCGCUUAUGGAAAUUUAUCUGGUUACGUUAUGAGGAUGAUGAAGAAUGUACUUAUUAGUGCCCCUCAUAUCAAACAUUUCUUGUCGAAACAGUUCACCUCUGACAAACCAUAUACUACUCAAGAAAUUGACGAAGUUCGAGAAGAAUGGGCAAUGUCAUUUUUACAAUUGGUUAGAGCAAAAUGAAUGAUGUUAUAGCUAGCUAAUUACAAUACACAUGUUCAGAAAUUUUAAAUUUAUUUUGCAAAUUUUAUUUCAAUUUUUUUAGUAUUUUA